AUUGAACGCUGGCGGCAGGCCUAACACAUGCAAGUCGAACGGUCUCUUCGGAGGCAGUGGCGGACGGGUGAGUAACGCGUGGGAACGUGCCCUUUGGUACGGAACAACUGAGGGAAACUUCAGCUAAUACCGUAUGUGCCCUUCGGGGGAAAGAUUUAUCGCCAUUGGAGCGGCCCGCGUUGGAUUAGCUAGUUGGUGGGGUAAUGGCCCACCAAGGCGACGAUCCAUAGCUGGUCUGAGAGGAUGAUCAGCCACACUGGGACUGAGACACGGCCCAGACUCCUACGGGAGGCAGCAGUAGGGAAUCUUGCGCAAUGGGCGAAAGCCUGACGCAGCCAUGCCGCGUGAAUGAUGAAGGUCUUAGGAUUGUAAAAUUCUUUCACCGGGGACGAUAAUGACGGUACCCGGAGAAGAAGCCCCGGCUAACUUCGUGCCAGCCGCCGCAGUAA
rnacentral:rRNA from 1 species